rnacentral:rRNA from 1 species
UGAACGCUAGCGGCAGGCCUAACACAUGCAAGUCGAGCGGAUGACAGGAGCUUGCUCCUGAAUUCAGCGGCGGACGGGUGAGUAAUGCCUAGGAAUCUGCCUGGUAGUGGGGGACAACGUCUCGAAAGGGACGCUAAUACCGCAUACGUCCUACGGGAGAAAGUGGGGGAUCUUCGGACCUCACGCUAUCAGAUGAGCCUAGGUCGGAUUAGCUAGUUGGUGAGGUAAUGGCUCACCAAGGCGACGAUCCGUAACUGGUCUGAGAGGAUGAUCAGUCACACCGGAACUGAGACACGGUCCAGACUGCUACGGGAGGCAGCAGUGGGGAAUAUUGCACAAUGGGCGCAAGCCUGAUGCAGCCAUGCCGCGUGUAUGAAGAAGGCCUUCGGGUUGUAAAGUACUUUCAGCGGGGAGGA